rnacentral:rRNA from 1 species
ACGAACCGCCCAAACGUUAUUCGGAAUCACUGGGCUUAAAGGGUGCGUAGGCGGCGCGACAAGUUGGGUGUGAAAUCCCUCGGCUCAACCGAGGAACUGCGCCCAAAACUGUCGUGCUCGAGGGAGAUAGAGGUAAGCGGAACUGAUGGUGGAGCGGUGAAAUGCGUUGAUAUCAUCAGGAACACCGGUGGCGAAAGCGGCUUACUGGAUCUCUUCUGACGCUGAGGCACGAAAGCUAGGGGAGCGAACGGG